rnacentral:tRNA from 1 species
GUUGUGGCUCAGUGGUAGAGCGCUUGCCUGGCACAUGUGAGGCACUGGGUUCAAUCCUCAGUACAACA